GAUUCUGGGCAGCUGUUUUCCUGUUGUAAAACAGAUCGUUGAAGAGUCGGUGCCCACUGCCCAGAUCGAAUCUUACCCGAGCCAGAACAGGAACGGUACCGCGGGUCAUCUUAGUUUCGUCGUCAGUCUGGGCGUUUGUCACAGUUGUACGUUAAUUGCCGACAGCCGGCGUAUUCGUUGUCACAGAAUCGGACCAACUCCUUUAGAAAUAUGUCUUUCAUGGAAAAAGUCGGCUCCAUCAUGAGACGGCCGGGGGAGGACGCAGUUCCAAAGGACGAAGUACCCUGGUGGAUGAAGUACGGUGGACGGGGACUCGGCACCGUGGGCGGUGGACUGGCCAUAUUCCUUGGAAUGUUCAAUUGUUUAGGAAUAAUAACUGCUGAUAUAUCUUGUGUGAUUAGUGGGAUUUGGCAAAUGUGUGCAGGGUUUGCGACGUUAGUUAUCGAGGCGCCUUGCUGUUGUCUCUUUCUAGACUUUGUACAGUCGUUAAGUGAAUUUGUGGACCAGCGCCCUUAUUGGAACAGGGCUGCACUUUAUGCGGGGAUUGCUUUACCUCCAAUUUUCUUAUGCUUCAACUUAAGUUCAUUGCUCGGCAGUGGUUUAAUUUUUGGAACAGGUGUUAUCUAUGGAAUGAUGGCUCUCGGCAAAAAGGGUUCGAGAGAGGAUAUGGCUGCCAUGGCAUCACCGACAGGAGUGGCUGUCUCACACCCCGGACCUACAGCACCUCCAGAAUCUACGCUGAUGGAAGAUCCAGAUGUCUGGAGACCCACGUAGACCGUAACGAGCACGUCAGAUGUUUCAGGAAGGAUAGGAGAGGGAAAAAUAAUUUAAAGGACUAGUCGGAAACAAGGGCAAGCAUGGAAGAUAUGAAAGCUGCAGUGCAAAACGAUUCCCAACCACAGAUGUCAGGUGGUAUCAGAUCAAACCUUGUAGAUGGCGCAGCACCUAUGGGCCAUUCGUCGGUAAUUCCUCCAGUAUAAGUAGUUGUAACUGUUAAGUAAUCAAAAAUGUAACUUUAAAAUGUCUUCCUGCGGAUGUCUUUCACUAGUCAAGCCUCUGCCUUUGUUUCCUUCAAAUUGCAAAUUGUUUUUUUCUUCUCCCGUUCAGUCCUGCUUUGGAAUAAUACAUUCCUGUUUGUAUUAGAAAUAUUAUCUUUUCUCUCUUCGGUGUUCUCCCUUAAAUCCUCCCACUUAGUCUGAUUAUAGGUCCUGUAAAGAUAGAUUUUUUUUGUUAUAAUACUCGAACAAAAAAAAAUUACAUUACACAGUAUAGUAAUAUUCAAAAUUGAGAAUGUAAAAACAAAAUCACAUAUUAGAUCAGGAAAUUGUAUUGUAGUUGAUAUAUUUUGUGAGGCAAAAUGUUUUUUUACAUAUAUUCACAUAAAUGAUACAAUUAUUCUUGCAUUAUUUUUGAAUUGAAACUGCCAAUUU